rnacentral:rRNA from 1 species
GUGGGGAAUAUUGCACAAUGGGGGAAACCCUGAUGCAGCGACGCCGCGUGAGUGAAGAAGUAUUUCGGUAUGUAAAGCUCUAUCAGCAGGGAAGAAAAAGGACGGUACCUGACUAAGAAGCCCCGGCUAACUACGUGCCAGCAGCCGCGGUAAUACGUAGGGGGCAAGCGUUAUCCGGAUUUACUGGGUGUAAAGGGAGCGUAGACGGCGCGGCAAGUCUGGAGUGAAAGCCCGGGGCCCAACCCCGGGACUGCUCUGGAAACUGUCGUGCUGGAGUGCGGGAGGGGCAGGCGGAAUUCCUGGUGUAGCGGUGAAAUGCGUAGAUAUCAGGAGGAACACCGGCGGCGAAGGCGGCCUGCUGGACCGUGACUGACGUUGAGGCUCGAAAGCGUGGGGAGCAAACAGGA